GACGAACGCUGGCGGCGUGCUUAACACAUGCAAGUCGAACGGAAAGGCCCUGCUUUUGUGGGGUGCUCGAGUGGCGAACGGGUGAGUAACACGUGAGUAACCUGCCCUUGACUUUGGGAUAACUUCAGGAAACUGGGGCUAAUACCGGAUAGGAGCUCCUGCUGCAUGGUGGGGGUUGGAAAGUUUCGGCGGUUGGGGAUGGACUCGCGGCUUAUCAGCUUGUUGGUGGGGUAGUGGCUUACCAAGGCUUUGACGGGUAGCCGGCCUGAGAGGGUGACCGGCCACAUUGGGCCUGAAUUACGGCCCGGACUCCAACGGGGGGCAGCAGUGGGGAAUUUUGCACAAGGGGCGGAAGCCGGAUGCAGCAACGCCGCGUGCGGAAUGACGGCCUUCGGUUUGUAAACCGCUUUCGCCUGUGACGAAGCGUGAGUGACGGUAAUGGGUAAAGAAGCACCGGCUAACUACGUG
rnacentral:rRNA from 1 species